GCUUUGUUGGUAACCUUCGAGAAUUUAGAUUCUAAAUGGAUCUUGGAUUCUGGGUGUUCGUUCCAUAUGACACCGAAUAAAUCUUGCUUCAAAGAAUUUAUAUCUGGAAAUUAUGGGACUAUGUAUCUUGUUGAUAACAAGUCUUGUAAGAUGAUGGGAAUUGGAACCUUAAGGUUGAAACUUCAUGAUGGUGUUGAAAGGGUGCUGAAGAAUGUCUAGUACCUGAUCUUAAAAGAAAUUUGAUCUCUGUUGAUAUGUUAGAUGAUCAAGGAUUUCUUAUUAAAAUUGAGAAAGGAAUCAUGAAAGUUUGUAGAGGUUCCAAUGUGGUGAUGAGAGGAAGAAAAUAAAAUGGGAUUUAUCCUAUGGAAGGUACCACAGUGAAAACACGAAGGUGUGUGUUUCAAGCAAGCACAUAAAUGAAACUGAAGUAUGGCAUAAGAGACUUGGCCAUGUUAGUGAAAGAAGGUUCCAUGAACUGAAUAAGCAGGGAUUACUUGGAAAAGUAAAGCUUGAGCAAUUAGACUUCUGUGAAUAUUGUGUACUUGGUAAAGCUUAUAGAGUCAAUUUUGGAACUGGCAAAAGGGAUACCAAGGGAACACUGGCUUAUGUUUACAAUGAUUUAUGGGGAGCCUCAAGGACACCAUCACACUCCGGGAGCACAUAUUUUGUUUCAAUAGUUGAUGAUUACUCAAGAAAGUUAUAGGUGUUUAUUUUGAAGAAUAAGACGGAAGUUCUUGAGAGAUUUAAGCACUGGAAGAUAAUGAUUGAGAAUCAAACUAGAAGGAAAGUAAAAUGACUAAGAAACAAUAAUGGUCCAGAGUACUGCUUGGAUGAGUUUGAUGUGUUCUGUAAGCAAGAAGGAAUAUCAAGGAACAAGACCGUGAGGAAGACUCCUCAGCAAAAUGGACUCGCAGAGAGGUCCAACAGAACCAUCUUAGAAAGAGUGAGGUGCAUGCUAUUAAGUGCUGGAUUGCCCAAAGUGUUUUGGGCGAAAGGUGUGUCCACUUCAGCUUACUUAAUAAACAAAUGUCCAUCAACAACACUGGAUUUCAAGACGCCAAAUGAGGUGUGGUUAGGGAAGCCAAUGAGUUAUGAACACUUGAAGGUAUUCAGAUGUGUCUGUUAUGCACAGUUAGGCAAGACAAACUUAUGGUAAGUUCCUUAAAGUCUAUUUUCUUAGGGCAUCUUGAAGGAGUCAAAGGAUACAGGAUGUGGUGUUUGGAGCCCGGAAUGAGAAAUAUAUAAUUAGUAAGGAUGUGACAUUUAAUGAAUCUGUAAUGAAAUUUAUUGACAAACCUGCUGGAAGUUAAGCCAAUACUAACCGAGAAGAAAUUGAAGCUCCAAGAACUGAGCUUGAGGUGGAGCCUCCGAGAAGGGUAGAGACUGAAAUACCUAUAGAUCAUAAAAGAGAUGACUCAGAAGAUGAUUUCGGAAGUGAUAAGCUAAAGAGUUAUAAACUGGAUAGAGACAGAACAUGGAGAGAAGUAAAGGUUCUAAAAAGAUAUGGACAUGCUAAUUUAAUCGCAUUUGCAUUUCAUGUUGCUAUUCAAACUGUACAUGAAGAGCCUACCAGCUAUGCACAAGCAAUGAAAACCGAAAAUCGGAAGAAAUGGAAUAGAGCUAUGUUAAAAGAGAUGAUGCACUCCCUAAAGAAGAACUGGACUUGGAAUGUAAUACCGAUGCCAGAAGACGGUAAAGUCAUCAGAUGAAAAUAGGUGUACACAUGGAAAGAAGCCAUUCCAAGUAUGAAAGAAUUCUAAUGAAACAACCUGAAGGAUUUGAAGAGGCUGGAAAGGAACACUGGUGUGCUUGUUGCGGAAGUCUCUAUAUGGUUUGAAACAAUCUCUAAGAUAGUGGAACAAGAGUGUAAUACCCUGGAAUUAAGGAAAUGGAUUAGCAAAGCCCUAACUAGUUAAUUGAGUAUUAUUGUAGAAUUAUAUUAUAUUAUAAUUUAUUAUAUGCGAAUUAAUAUGAGAAAUGACAUGUUAAGACCCCGUUGGUGAGCCAGGGGCAUUUUAGUAAUUUUGACCCGAGAAGGGUAAAACUGUGAAUUUAAUUUAUUUAUGUGCUUAUGAACUAUAUUAUUAUAUAGUAUAUAUGGUGUGUCCUUUUUCAGGUGUGUUCUGACAAGUUGGUGCGGUAUAGUCACAAUCGGGUAUUUCGGGUCGAACCGGGUUCGGGGCCAAAAUAUAAUUUUGGGAUAAAUUCUUGGCAUUUUAUUUAUGUGUGAAUAAUCUGAAAUUAUUUAAAUAUGUGUUAUAUAUGAAAUGAAUUCAAUGCCCUUAAUUGUUUGAGUAUGUGAGAAAUGGCCCUAGGGGCAAAAUGGUAAAUAUAUAUUUUUGGAUUUAUUUUCAACUAAAGGCAUUCUUUGUAAAAAAAUGAAAUUCAUUUUCUGCAUUUACCUUAACCCUAAAACAGCCCCCUUCCCUCUCUCUCUCUAUCUCUCUUUGUAUUUGGUUGAAAAAUUGGUGAUUUGCUUGGUAUUCAAGCUUGAAAUUGAAGAAUUGUUUGAGGAGUUGUGGCUUGAUCAUUGCAUUGAAGCUUGAGGAAAGGGUAAAUCUAUCUCUGAUCAGCCAUGAGUAUGGGAGUUGGGCGAUGUAUGUACAUGUUCGAGCCACACUAGACCAAGUGGGUUGGGGUCUACCAGCGUUGAAACUUUUGUAACUCUAUUUUGCCGCUUAGGUCGGCUAAGGAGAAAAGACUUGUAAUAUUUUGUAAAAUGAUUUUUGGGAUCCCGAAACAUGUAACUUUUGUUUGUAAGGUUAAAAUUAUUACAAGUUUAUUUUCAUUCCA